rnacentral:rRNA from 1 species
AUGAACGCUGGCGGCGUGCUUAACACAUGCACGUCGAACGAAGCAUUUAGAACAGAUUACUUCGGUUUGAAGUUCUUUAUGACUGAGUGGCGGACGGGUGAGUAACGCGUGGGUAACCUGCCUUGUACUGGGGGAUAGCAGCUGGAAACGGCUGGUAAUACCGCAUAAGCGCACAAUGUUGCAUGACAUGGUGUGAAAAACUCCGGUGGUAUAAGAUGGACCCGCGUCUGAUUAGCUAGUUGGUGAGAUAACAGCCCACCAAGGCGACGAUCAGUAGCCGACCUGAGAGGGUGACCGGCCACAUUGGGACUGAGACACGGCCCAGACUCCUACGGGAGGCAGCAGUGGGGAAUAUUGCACAAUGGAGGAAACUCUGAUGCAGCGACGCCGCGUGAGUGAAGAAGUAAUUCGUUAUGUAAAGCUCUAUCAGCAGGGAAGAUAGUGACGGUACCUGACUAAGAAGCUCCGGCUAAAUACGUG